rnacentral:rRNA from 1 species
ACAGAGGGUGCUAGCGUUGUUCGGAAUCAUUGGGCGUAAAGAGCGCGUAGGCGGUUUGCUAAGUCCGGUGUGAAAGCCCUCGGCUUAACUGAGGAAGUGCAUUGGAUACUGGCAAGCUUGAGUGUGAGAGAGGAUUGUGGAAUUCCUGGUGUAGCGGUGAAAUGCGUAGAUAUCAGGAGGAACACCGGUGGCGAAGGCGGCAAUCUGGAUCAUAACUGACGCUGAGGCGCGAAAGCGUGGGUAGCAAACAGGA